rnacentral:lncRNA from 1 species
AAUUUAUAAAAAAAAUUGGGCGUUGGGCGAUUGCCUGGUGGCCCUUGCCCAGGGCCGGCUCUGCGCUUAAUAAGACGACUGAAGCUGAUGGAGCUCAUUAGCUCAAGGAGAGCUCGAUGUUGGUAGCCAUGGCGUUCAUGAUAUGGCUGAGCUACUGAAGAAUUUUAAGGUCGAAUUUCCUUAAUUAACGGAACUGAUCCUCGGUCAUGGAUUCGCAAGUGUGAGAAGUUCUUCAAUGUUAAUCCAAUGUCCAGUGAAAGUAAGGUUUCUCUGGCGUAGAAAAAGCUGAUUCGUGGUUUCCAGGCAGCGAUCCGACCUCUCGGUUGGAAUAGAUUCACGAAGGAAAUUAUUGCUGAUAUGAUGUGGCUGAUUGCGAUCCCGUUGAUGAAUAAAAAAAUCUGAAGCAUACUACCACUGUAAGUGUUUAUUAGAAAGAAUUUGAAAAUCUGCAAUCUAUUAUGCUGGUGAAGAGUAAGCACUAUACAGAUGAUUUUUUCCCGUCUAGUUUCAUCAGUGGAUUGAAAUUUGAGAUAAAAUGCAUGGUCAAAUUGUUGAAACCUAGCUACUACUUUGAAGGAUGCUAUUAGUUUGGUUAAGAUGCAAGAAAGAUACUGUGCAAACUUUAGCAGCACUACUUUUGCCUUAACCUAAUUCUUCUGUUCAGUCCAAUUGUCCAAACCAUACAUUAUGGCACCAAACUCUUACAAUCAAAAGCCACAUACUAUACCUUCUUUACAAAAUAGAAUUGCUUCAGGACAUAGGUGUAAAAAACAGAUGUUAUAUCUCUGACAGUUGGAUUCUACUGGGGAAUUGGAAGAGGAGGUGUGUGAAGAGGGGAAAGAGGAUUUAAGAGGUUCCUAGUGAUGGAGAUAUCUUCCAGAGCUAUUCCAAAUCCUGUUAUUGAGGAAUUUUUGGAUGACCAUUUGGUUUCACUAAUGCUCCAACUACAUUCCAAGCUCUAAUGAACUACAUUUAUGUGAAAAUCCAGAUCGGAAAAAAUCACAGAGAAAGACAGAAGAAAUUCAUUAAAUAAAAAUCUGAAAAAUACAAGAUAAAGAGAGAACUAUGAGAAUUAUUAGACACCUAUAUUUAGAGCCAAUAGAAAAAUUCCAUAACCAAAUAGGAAAUAUUAAAUUGAGUAUGACUAAGAAAGAUAAACCAAAACAGAUUCUAGAUAAUAUCUAAAUUCAAAUUCAAUAGGAUUCAUGUCAUACCAAACAUUAUGCAACUUGUGAUCCUGAAUUAUGCCAUUUCAGGUAAUUAGUUAUAUACAAGGAAUGGAGAACUUGACAAACAAACAGGUGAUCAUGUAUACGCAAAUGCAGAUGAAAGUGAGGUUGGGCUUGGAGAGGUUGAUAAAGAGAUAGCAUCACAAGAUGAUCACUCAAAACAGCUUGUUGAAGCUGAGGAAGAAAUUGAAAAAAUCGCAAUAUUAUCAACAAAAUUAAAUGAAGUUAAGGCGGCCAAUACUAUAGGCGGCCAAUAUUGCCUUAAGGAGAUGUUGGACUUCCAUCUGAUUCAAACGGCACUAUUAUUUUUUUUCCAGGAUUUCGGCAAUGUCCUAGGACGAAAGUUCCAACAUGUUCUCAUCUCAAAUGAAGAUGGAAUCCUACUCUACUCUCAUAUGAGAGGAGAUAAUGAAAAAUAUCAAAAAUAUAUGUAAAAAUAAUACCCUCAUUUUCAACUUUCUCU